CGAUGUGAGGGCGAUCUGGCUGUGGACAUCUGUCACCCCACUGAUCCUCAGGGUUGAUUCCGCUGAUCUGGAUGGCGCAGCGGGUGUCCCAGUCGUCAAUGCUCCAUGUGUACCCCUCCCAAAGCUGCGUGCUUCGUGGAAGAGGAUCAUCUGGAUAGAGGAGAACCGUUCCUUCACCCAGGGUACAUAAGUAGCUGGGUCCCCACCCCUAGAACCUCCAAACAAGCUCUGAAAACUACUCUCACAUUUUAAACUUUUUGACUACUUAUUAAACUACCUUUGAAA
rnacentral:snRNA from 1 species